rnacentral:rRNA from 1 species
AGAGUUUGAUCAUGGCUCAGAUUGAACGCUGGCGGCAUGCCUUACACAUGCAAGUCGAACGGCAGCGCGGGGCAACCUGGCGGCGAGUGGCGAACGGGUGAGUAAUAUAUCGGAACGUGCCCUGAAGUGGGGGAUAACGCAGCGAAAGUUGCGCUAAUACCGCAUACGAUCUAAGGAUGAAAGCAGGGGACCGCAAGGCCUUGUGCUCCUGGAGCGGCCGAUAUCUGAUUAGCUAGUUGGUGGGGUAAAGGCCUACCAAGGCAUCGAUCAGUAGCUGGUCUGAGAGGACGACCAGCCACACUGGAACUGAGACACGGUCCAGACUCCUACGGGAGGCAGCAGUGGGGAAUUUUGGACAAUGGGCGAAAGCCUGAUCCAGCAAUGCCGCGUGAGUGAAGAAGGCCUUCGGGUUGUAAAGCUCUUUUGUCAGGGAAGAAACGGUGUGGGCUAAUAUCCCGCACUAAUGACGGUACCUGAAGAAUAAGCACCGGCUAACUACGUGCCAGCAGCCGCGGUAAUACGUAGGGUGCAAGCGUUAAUCGGAAUUACUGGGCGUAAAGCGUGCGCAGGCGGUUUUGUAAGUUUGUCGUGAAAGCCCCGGGCUCAACCUGGGAAUUGCGAUGAAGACUGCAAGGCUUGAAUCUGGCAGAGGGGGGUAGAAUUCCACGUAGCAGUGAAAUGCGUAGAGAUGUGGAGGAACACCGAUGGCGAAGGCAGCCCCCUGGGUCAAGAUUGACGCUCAUGCACGAAAGCGUGGGGAGCAAACAGGAUUAGAUACCCUAGUAGUCC